rnacentral:lncRNA from 1 species
AUGAACGGAUCUUCAAGGGCUUUUGGGCUUGAUCUUGAAGAACGGUUGGAUGUGUGGAUUUGUUGAUGUUGUUGAUCCAAAGGGUCGUUGGGGCUUGAUCUUAGGAUGAACGGAUGAUGAACGAUGAACACUUUCUUCAAGGGCGUCGAAGCUUGAUCUUGAGUUGGUGAUUGUUGAUCCAAGGGCCGUCGGGGCUUGAUCUUGGGUUGGUGAUUGUUGAUCCAAGGGCCGUCGGGGCUUGAUCUCGGAAGAACGAUGAACGAAGAACGAAGAACGAAGAACGACUUUCUUCAAGGGCCGUCGGGGCUUGAUCUUGAAUCGGUGGAUUGUUCUUCAAGGGCCGUUGGGGCUUGAUCUUGAAGGAGGAUUUGAUGAAGAACGAAAAGGGAUUUCUUGAUUAUUCGGGAUUUGCUUGAGAGCUUCGGAGUUUCAGAGCUUCAGAGGUUCAGAGCUUCAAGGUGUAAUAUGAAUUCCCCCCCCCCCAAAUGAAUGAAAUUGGUUUCUAUUUAUAGAAUUUUCCAAGGCCUAAUUUUGAAUAUAAUAUUCCAGAUGAAAUAAGUUGUUUCUGCCAGGUGUUGACACGUGUCCUGUUUGAUGACUUUUCCGAUGAUUCUCGAUUUUUUGUUUGGACACACGCUACGUGUAAAAUUUAUGUAAUACAUGAGCGUUGAAACUUUGAUUUAUCGGUCAACAUUUAUUUACCGAAAUUUCGAUGUCUACAAAUGCCCCCACUUCAAGGCGCGUCGUAUACAUGUGUUUGUCAUGUGUAGGAGAUGUGUUUUGAAGUCCCUUAUUGUAGAUGUUGAUCCAAGGGCCGUCGGGGCUUGAACUUGAAUUGGGCUGGAAGUUUCUUCAAGGGCCGUCAAGGCUUGAUCUUGAAUUUGUUUGGAAUUUCUUCAAGGGCCGUCGAGGCUUGAUCUUGAAGGUUGAAAUUGGACCACAAAGAGCUUCAUGUGGUAGAUGAUCUUUGGCUUGGGUAGUGGAUGAAUCGACACGUAUUUGUUUUUUUGCGCUUUGUUGACUUUCCACAGCUUUGAUCUUGAACUGGGUUGGAGGAUUUUCUGGAUUCCUCCAAUUGUUGAUUUUCCAUAGCUUAUUCUUGAACUAGGUUUUGAUUCAAGAGUGGUAGACACUUGAUCUUGAAUCAGACUUGUGAUUUCUUCAAGGGCUGUCGAGGCUUGAUCUUGAAUUUGGCUGGAAACUUCUUCAAAGGUCGUUAAGGCUUGAUUCUUGAAGGUUGACUCGAACACAUGACAAGCAGGCACGAGGUGAAGGUGACGACUUGUUGCUCUGUUCAAUCUUUCUAAUUCACACCUGAGCAGUUUGGUCAACGGUAUGAUCUUCAAGAUUGAUGGGCUCUUCUUCCAGUUGGUGACUUGAUCUUUAAGAAUUUGAUUCAAGGGUGGUGAAACGGCACAUGCAGUCCACAACGCCUAGUAAGUCGACCCAAGAAUUUGAGGGUCAAAACGAGUUCACCGUCCAGAGUGAUUGCAACCCUGAUGAUAUGAGAUACUUUUGAUUUUUAAGAAGUAGCGGAUGAAUCAGCACGUGCUUUGUUGCACUUGUCUCCACAUGCUUCAAGGUAUCAUUUUCAUUUCCUUUAUCUGUUCCUCAGGUAGAUGUGGCAUCUUCUCGAGUUCUUCACCUCAGACUCUUUCUGCUGAGUUGACUGUGCAUGCUGCAUUUUUCUCUGCUUGUUUCUUCUGCAUGUUGUCUCCACGUGCUGCAAGGUAUCAUUUUCACUUGCCUUAUCUGUUCUUCAGGCAGAUGUGGCAGCUUUUUUGGAAGUACAGCAGUAGUGGGAGACGAGUACUCGAGAGCAGUGCUAGGUAGGCAAUCAGGGAAGGGUUCCCAGCAGUCGGUUCCUUACCCGAGUUUGAGUGGAAGUUCCGGCAUAUUGUUUUCUUUAUCCUUGUCUUCGUAGGUAGGAACAAGGACAAAGGAAAGGAUAGGGAGAACGCAUGAUAUGAGAUACUCUUGCUUUCUACCCUGGUGAUAUGAGAUACUUUUGCUUUGGAGUCAUUGGCUUGCAGAGGUACCCCAAGGAAUAAGGAACACUGAGUGACCCGAGAGGCUUCGUUGGGAAGGCAUUCUCGGAGAUGAAGAAAGGUUCUGUAUGUCUGCCUUGCUAUGAAGGGUGAAGGUGGACAUUUAUAUGGAUUAAUAACCGGUACUGUUCUUUCACUCUCGUCGGCAACCGUUGGAUGAUUGAACAGUAAACUUCACGUGUUUUCUCCUUCACCGAAAAUCUUCGACAAAUUGCCCUUGAUUUGCGCAAAGUUGAGUGUGCAUAUGACAGGUGCGGACAAGUCUGGAAAUGAAGAUUGGCCCGUGGUUUUCGAGCAAGCCCAGCUUUUGAGAAAGCUAGCACCUCUUCGAAUUCUGAGCUUGCCUCUUCGAUCUCUGAAAUCCCGUCGAGUGCUGAUUUUUAUAGAGGCACGCAGUUCGUUUCAAAGCACACUUGAAUUUUUGCUUGUAGAAACUCCCUUCUUGUACUUCUAAGAUCUUGAUUUAUCCGACCUCUUCUUCCUUCAACACCUUUGAAAAUGUCUGGACCCUCCGACCGUCGUUUUGAUUUGAAUCUUGGUGAAGAGGCAGUCUCGCCUUCUCCAGACAACAUAUGGCGCCCAUCCUUCAUAUCCCCUACUGGUCCUCUUACCGUUGGGGAUUCGAUGGUAAAGAAUGAUAUGAUCGCUGCGGUGGUGGCCCGAAACCUUGUCACUCCCAGAGAUAACAGACUACUUUCCAAAUGGUCUGAUGAGUUGGCUGUUAAGGAUUCUCUAACUCUCAGUGUGCAGUGUGCAGGUUCUGUGUCUAAUAUGGCCCAACGCCUAUUUGCUCGAACCCGUCAAGUUGAAUCAUUGGCGGCUGAAGUGAUGAGUCUCAAACAGGAGAUUAGAGGGCUCAAGCAGGAGAAUAAACAGUUGCAUAAGCUCGCACAUAGCUAUGCGACGACAAACAUGAAGAGGAAGAUUAACCAGAUGCAGGAAUCUGAUGGUCAGAUUUUACUUGAUCAUCAGAGGUUUGUGGGUUUGUUCCAGCAGCAUUUGCCUUCGUCUUCUGGGGCUGUACCGCAUAAUGAAGCUCCAGAUGAUCAACCUCUGGCUCCUCUUCUUCCUAGAGUUCCGCCGAGUGAUAAGGCGCCACCUGAUCAUCCUUGAAGAUCCCCUCAUGUAAAUUUGAUUUGACUUUUUUUUUUUUUUUUUUAUAAUUUUUUUUAUAGGUAUGUAUAAUGCAAAUUUAUGUAAAAUUUCCAGAAAAAAUAAAUAAAAUGGACUUUUAUUUCUCUUAAUGCUUUUUUUUUUUUUUUUUUUUUUUUUGCACAUGGUGCCAGAUGCACCAUCCAUUUUUUUAUAGUUUCCUUUCUCUUCCCUUUUUUUUUGCACAUGGUGCCAGAGCACCAAACAUCAAACAUUUUUUUUCUUUAAUCAUGGUGCCAGACGCACCAGAGAUAAAACAUUUUUUUUUUUUAAAUUAAUUUUUUUUUUAAUUAAAAUUUUUUUUAAUUAAAUUUUUAAAAUUUUUUAUAUUAUAUAUAUAUAUAUAUAUAUAUAUAUAUAUAUAUAUAUAUAUAUAUAUUUAGUGCCAAAAGCGUAAAGAUAUUUUUUUUUUCAACGGUGAAGACCUACAAUCCAUUUUAUAUAUAUAUUUUAGGGUGGUGGCUGACACCAUCAUUUUUUUUAUAUUUUUUUUUUUUUUGCUUUCGGUGCCGAGUGCACCAUGUCUCCUCUUUUCCCCUUUUUUUUUAAAUUUUUUUUUUUCAUGCACACAUACAUACAUACGUACAUACAUAUACAUAUAUAUAUAUAUAUAUAGGGUGCGGGAUAGGAGCUUAGAGGAGCAGCUGGCGUCGUCGGUGCCCUUGAUGACAGUUCUGGCGCAGAGGUUGGUGUCUAGGAUCAGCAGCGCAGUCGAUGAGGAAGACGGCGACAACUGGGUGGCCAUGGAUUCGUGGAGGUGGAGCACGUAGGAGGAAGGCGAGGGCUGAGGCCGUUGCGGCGGAGACGACAAGGAUGGUUGCUGCUGCGAUCGGGGGAGGCGUUGACGGGGGACAAGAAGCUGGCUAAGGCGGUGCUCGAGGCUGCUGCUUCUUCAAUGGAUGGAGGAAGACGACGAGUUGGCCGCGGAAGGGCUUGGAUUUGCUGUAGCCAUGGAACAGCUUGGAUUUGCUGCAGUCGUGGAGGAAGAACCAACUUGGGGGGAGCUUACAAUGGUCAGCUGAGAGUUGAGAAAAAGUGAGGAGGUUGCGGUGGCUUUCAUGGCUGAGAUGAAGGAUGAGCAGGAUGUGGAUCCUAACGGCGAGCGACGAGCUCGGGUUGGCUUCGCCAAACGAAUGUAGGAGAGAGCACAAAAGGGUCCUAGCGGAGCUGGAGCAGCGGGCUUGGACGCAGGAGAUGUAGCACUGGGUCAGGAGGAGUUGGUGGAGAUUCAGACGGUGUGACGACAGAGUUGGCACCACCAUCUAGCAUCUCGAAGGUGGAGCUUUAUUGGUGAGGAGGGAUCGGCUGGAUGUCGCAGAUGGCGUUGGUGCCGAGGUUGGUGAGGAAGAAAGGGUCUACCGCACUGACUGGAGAUAAAGGCGGGUGGAGUCUCGGACCAGGUGAGCAGAUCGGCGGUGGAGAAGAGCUGGGAAGGGCCUGGGGCGAAGUUCAAAGAGCCAACCUGGUGGUUGAAGUUGGCGACCCGAGAUCCAGAAGGUGCACCAGAGAUAUCAUACUAGACCAGCCAACACUCGUCGACGAUUGUGGCGGAAAAGGAAGAAGGCGAGGCCAGAGAGCAUCCCAAGUGUCUAAUCCCGAUCGAGGCAGCCAUGGCGACUUUCUUCGUCCGCUUGGUUGGUUGCGGCGGCUUCGAGUUCAGCAACACCGAGAGAGUUGCAGAGGGAGAGAGAGUGACGUGGUUGAAGGGUUGAGUUUUCUGCUGCUGGGCCGAGACACAAGUGAGGAUAGGCUUGUUGAUUUGGUUUUUUUUUUUUUUUGGAAAAAUUUUGGGUUGGGCCCUUUUUUUAUUUAUUUAUUUUUUGCUGAUUUUUUUGGGAGAACACAUAUAUACAUGCACCUUUUCCUUUUCUUUUCUUUUUUUUUGUUUUUUUUGUUUUUUUGUUUUUUUGUUUUUUUGUUUUUUGUUUUUUUUUUGUUUUGUUUUUUUUUUUUUACAAACAACGUGUAAUAUUUUUUUUUGUACAAAGAAUGUAACAAUAUUGACUUUCAAUAGUCAAACACUUAAUAAAACCUAAUUUUUUAUUUUGAUGUGACUGUACUCGAAGUUGAAUGUUCGAGUUGCCUACGUACCAUUCCAAAGAAGAGAUCAAGUCAUAACGUAGUUCAAAUGAGCGAUGAAUUUAAUGAUUUUUCCGUACACAUUUUAUGCUCUUGUGGGCCAGGAGCUUUGGUGCCAUUUGCAGUUUCAACUCAUGCAGACAAGGAGCUUGCCUUUUAUGCUCGUGCAGACCAGAGCGUUGGUGUUGCCUUUUAUGCUCGUGCAGACUAGGAGCGUUGAUGUUGCCUUUUAUGCUCGUGCAGACCAGGAGCUUUGUGCCAUGCAGUUUAGACUCGUGCGGGCGAGGAGAAUUUGUGAAUUUUGUCAAGCAAUUUUGGAGAGGCGUUCCUCACAAUCUUCAUAGCAAGGAGCCUUGACCGAGUGAUUGAAGAAGUCUUCGGGAAAGAAAUCGCGCAUUGUGAUGGCAACAGACGAUCUUUGUGUCGUAAUUUCAUCAUCCUCAACACUUUCACGUUGCUUUGAAGGUUGACAAGAGCUGAUUUGCCCCCUUUCCGAUUGGCGGACUUGUGGAGGAGACGUAUGCUUUUUGUGCAAUUUCUUAGGAGUGACUUGAGUCCAUCCUUCUACUUUGUUUGUCUUGGAGGAUGCCCCCGGAGGUUGAGGUAAAAAAUUUGAGUAGGAAGAGCCAGAAGUGAUGGUGGUAUAGUUUGACUUCACCACAUUGUCAAGAUCUAGCUCGAUGAUUCCUUUCUGAGCCAGCUUCAUGAUGAGAUCUUUCAGCACGAAGCACUUUUCUGUCGGAUGACUGAUGAAGCGGUGGAAUUUACAGUACCUUGGACUGUCGGUGUGAUUCAUCUCUUCUGGCCGUCUGCACUCAGGCAAGCCGAUCACCUUCUUUUCCAGCAAGUCUUCUAACACGGCAACCACAUCAGAGUCGGGGAAUGGAUAAGUUUUCUCCUCAAGCUCCUUCAAAGUGCGUCUACGGAUCUCUUGAUCACAAAAAGCUUUGGUUUGAAUCGCCUUGCCUCGUGUAGGGAUUUUGACGGGAGUUGUGUUGACCGUCAUUGCUUCCUUGGUGGAUUUCCACGCAGCCUUCUCCACCUUUGUCUCAAGAACUUUGUCAAUCUUGUAGUCAGAGAUCGGUUCCUUCUUCCCAUGAUGGGCGAUGCUCAACUCCAUGUCAUGGGCGCGGGUGGCUAGCUCUUCGAAGGUCCGUGGUUUGAUGCCUUGAAGGAUGUAUUGCAAACCCCAUUGCAUGCCUUGGACGCGCAUCUCGAUUGAAGAGGUCUCCGAGAGCCUAUCUUUGCAGUUGAGGCUUAGAGUGCGCCAUCUGUUGAUGUAGUCAAUGACUGGCUCGUCCUUCCACUGCUUUGUGCUCGUCAGUUCUAGCAUGCUCACAGUGCGGCGGGUGCUGUAGAAGCGGUUGAGGAAUUCCCGCUCCAGUUGCUCCCAGCUGUUGAUGGACUCAGGCUCUAGGUCCGUGUACCACUCAAAGGUGUUUCCUUUCAGCGAGCGCACAAACUGCUUGGUGAGGUAGUCCCCUUCGGUCUCUGCGUUGUUGCAAGUUUCAACAAAAUGGGCAACGUGCUGUUUCGGGUUUCCCUUUCCAUCGAAUUGCAUGAACUUUGGCGGUUGAUAACCCCUCGGCAUCCUUAAGGCAUCAAUCUUCUUUGAAUACGACUUCGAGUACAACCCGGAGGUAUUUGAGCUCCUUUCGUACUGUGCCUUGAUGGUGUUGGUGAUCAUCUCUUGCAGCUGCUGGAUAGAAAGAGAUCCCAUGAGUGCCGCUGCUUGGUCUGGCUCCGGCUUCACAUCGAUUCUCUCCACCGUAGGCUCAUUUUCUGGGUCGGGUUUCUCGCCGUCCUGUGCCUCCAAUCGGUUGACUAGUGCUGCAAUUUGCAAGUCUUUUUCUUCCACAGUUCGGGUUAGCCUUGCGAUUGCUUCAUUCAUUUGAGCCAAUUGCUCUUCGAUGGAGGUAACGCCGAUGGUCAUGACUUGUGCAACCAAUAGACGUGACUUUCCUUUAGAUAUCCAAGAUGCUGACGAAGAACGUCGUUGGCUGCUUUGGGAUGUCAUCUUAUGUGCCUCAGUAGCAUGCUUUGGUGCCCCCAACGAGGUCAGGUUGAUGACGGACUCGCACCUUUGAUGCUCCCCUUGCUAUUUUAGCAGCAUCAACUUUAAAGCGGCAUAUUGAGGAGCGGUUGUGGCGCUAAUGGAUUGUCCGUCUGUGGCAGAAGAGCUCAGGAUCCUUCCCUUAGUGAGAACGGCUUGUCCUUUGCUUGAUGCCAUUGAUUUUGGAAGUGUGCUUGAAUUUCUUGAACGGAGAAAGAGAUGAGAGGUAGAGAUGAUCCCACCGGGCGUGCCAAUUUGUGAACACGAAAUAUUCCUGAAAGGAAAGAGACAAGAACAACGUGCACAAAAUAAUAUUUGUAUUUGAUGAUUUUGGGUUACAAUCUCUCUAUUUUUUGAUCCUCUGAUUCGAUCUCCGUAAGGUAUUGAUUUGUGGAUGUUUCGUUGAUCCAAGGGUCGUCGAGGCUUGAUCUUGGAUGAACUGUUGGAAGUUUCUUCAAGGGGCCGUGGGCUUGAUCUUUGAAGGUGGAUUUGAGCGGAUCUUCAAGGAACCGUUGGGGCUUAAUCUUGAGGAUGAGUGUUUCUUCAAGGGCCGUUAAGGCUUGAUCUUGAAUAACAGUGAUGAACGGAUCUUCAAGGGCUUUUGGGCUUGAUCUUGAAGAACGGUUGGAUGUAUGGAUUUGUUGAUGUUGUUAAUCCAAGGGCCAUCGGGGCUUGAUCUUGGAAGGUGGAUUUGAGCGGAUCUUCAAGGAGCCGUUGGGGCUUGAUCUUGAGGAAGAGUGUUUCUUCAAGGGCCGUUAAGGCUUGAUCUUGAAUAAUGGUGAUGAACGGAUCUUCAAGGGCUUUUGGGCUUGAUCUUGAAGAACGGUUGGAUGUGUGGAUUUGUUGAUGUUGUUGAUCCAAAGGGCCGUUGGGGCUUGAUCUUAGGAUGAACGGAUGAUGAACGAUGAACACUUUCUUCAAGGGCCGUCGAGGCUUGAUCUUGAGUUGGUGAUUGUUGAUCCAAGGGCCGUCGGGGCUUGAUCUUGGGUUGGUGAUUGUUGAUCCAAGGGCCGUCGGGGCUUGAUCUUGGAAGAACGAUGAACGAAGAACGAAGAACGAAGAACGACUUUCUUCAAGGGCCGUCGGGGCUUGAUCUUGAAUCGGUGGAUUGUUCUUCAAGGGCCGUUGGGGCUUGAUCUUGAAGGAGGAUUUGAUGAAGAAUGAAAAGGGCUUUCUUGAUCCUUCGGGAUUUGCUUGAGAGCUUCGGAGUUUCAGAGCU